UUUAUACAGUGUGCCGGGAACCGAUUUCAUGAGAAGGCAAAAAAGCUGCGCUCAUAAACAUACGGACUUUAUUUGCAAACGUUUUUCUGCUUGUGCUUUUAUCAAAUGGAGUUCACAAUACUGGGAUCGGAAAACACGAUCCGGCCCUGUUUACAUCCUUUAGUGCGCUGGAUUGGGCACCUGUAGAUUUGUUUGUGAGUGGUUUUUGGCCGUCGAAAUCAGCUUGAUUUGCUGCCAGAGAAAUACUGGGCAUCGGGUUUGGUGUACCAUUUGCUUCACGUGUGACAUCAGCAUGGGGAAGGUUUUGGCUUUCAAGCGAAAACAGAUUUGGCAUGUAUUAUGUUCAUUUUGAAGUCAAAUACAUUAACCCACCAUACACAAGGUAUCAGUGUAGUGCAUGGGUCCACUGGCCACCUCCGGCUCCCGAACAUCUCGAUGGCGCUCCGUUUGAAAAGUUCAAUUACUGCGUUCCAUUUUAAAUCAUCAUUGAUCGUCAUAUUCAAAGCCAUUCAAUAACACGGA